AGGAGCCGUGCGAGAUAAAAGUCUCAUGCACGGUUUUGAAUGAGAGAAAGAAGUGAGGAAUCCUCUUUUCGACUCUGAC
rfam:Populus trichocarpa chloroplast, complete genome.